rnacentral:rRNA from 1 species
AGCGAACGCUGGCGGCAGGCUUAACACAUGCAAGUCGAACGGGCACUUCGGUGUCAGUGGCAGACGGGUGAGUAACACGUGGGAACGUACCUUUUGGUUCGGAACAACUGAGGGAAACUUCAGCUAAUACCGGAUAAGCCCUUACGGGGAAAGAUUUAUCGCCGAAAGAUCGGCCCGCGUCUGAUUAGCUAGUUGGUAGGUUAAUGGCCGACCAAGGCGACGAUCAGUAGCUGGUCUGAGAGGAUGAUCAGCCACAUUGGGACUGAGACACGGCCCAAACUCCUACGGGAGGCAGCAGUGGGGAAUAUUGGACAAUGGGGGCAACCCUGAUCCAGCCAUGCCGCGUGAGUGAUGAAGGCCCUAGGGUUGUAAAGCUCUUUUGUGCGGGAAGAUAAUGACGGUACCGCAAGAAUAAGCCCCGGCUAACUUCGUGCCAGCCGCCGCCGUAAGAC